GUGGGGAAUAUUGGACAAUGGGGGGAACCCUGAUCCAGCCAUGCCGCGUGUGUGAAGAAGGCCUUUUGGUUGUAAAGCACUUUAAGCGAGGAGGAGGCUACCGAGAUUAAUACUCUUGGAUAGUGGACGUUACUCGCAGAAUAAGCACCGGCUAACUCUGUGCCAGCAGCCGCGGUAAUACAGAGGGUGCGAGCGUUAAUCGGAUUUACUGGGCGUAAAGCGUGCGUAGGCGGCUUUUUAAGUCGGAUGUGAAAUCCCCGAGCUUAACUUGGGAAUUGCAGUCGAUACUGGGAAGCUAGAGUAUGGGAGAGGAUGGUAGAAUUCCAGGUGUAGCGGUGAAAUGCGUAGAGAUCUGGAGGAAUACCGAUGGCGAAGGCAGCCAUCUGGCCUAAUACUGACGCUGAGGUACGAAAGCAUGGGGAGCAAACAGGAUUAGAAACCCUUGUAGUCC
rnacentral:rRNA from 1 species